UAGGGGGUAGUGUAGUGGAAGCACUCAGAGUUUUGAUCUCUGCGGGAUGGGUUCGAGUCCCUUUCCCCUAG
rnacentral:tRNA from 1 species